rnacentral:lncRNA from 1 species
UGAUUCAAGCUCGGCGCCUGAAGGUUAAUGAAGAAGAAGAAGAUCAUGAAGAAGAAGAGCAAUAAGGAUGUGUUGGCCUGCGGCCAUGUCAUGUGUUUGUCUGGACUUGGAUUAGAUGGGUUGGUCGAUGGGGUGUUGCAUUGUUUUGCUUUCGACGCCUCGUGUCAUCUUGUGAUGGGCGUUCUUGUAGUCUGAACUGCUAAGUGUUAUGUAGUUCCUUUCCGGUUGAAUUGUUAUUCCCUGUCGAGGACGAAAUGAAAAUUUGGUUGCCCACAUUUGGCCCUCUCUGUGUUUGUUUU